rnacentral:rRNA from 1 species
CCCAGCAGCCACAUCACCUUGCAAUUCACAGCUGGCAGCCCACUGGAGCUCAGCAGGUGUGAGGCUGGUCAGUACCUGGAUGGGAGACCUCCUGGGGAAAACAAAAGGUUGCUGCUGGAA